rnacentral:rRNA from 1 species
CAGCCAUGCCGCGUGCAGGAUGACGGUCCUAUGGAUUGUAAACUGCUUUUAUACGAGAAGAAACCACUCUACGUGUAGAGUCUUGACGGUAUCGUAAGAAUAAGGAUCGGCUAACUCCGUGCCAGCAGCCGCGGUAAUACGGAGGAUCCAAGCGUUAUCCGGAAUCAUUGGGUUUAAAGGG